rnacentral:misc_RNA from 1 species
AUUUUUCAACCAUAUUUGCUGAUAUUGAGGGUCCAGCUGGGACUCCUUAUGAGAAUGGGGUAUUCCGCAUGAAGUUGAUUUUGACACAUGAUUUCCCUCAUUCCCCACCCAAAGGUUAUUUUCUGACCAAGAUUUUUCAUCCCAACAUUGCUUCCAAUGGCGAGAUUUGUGUAAAUGCUUUGAAAAAAGAUUGGAGUCCUAGUUUGGGCCUACGACAUGUUCUCAUGGUGGUAAGAUGUUUACUAAUCGAGCCAUUUCCAGAAUCUGCGCUAAAUGAGCAAGCUGGCAAGAUGCUUCUUGAUAAUUAUGAUGAGUAUGCUAGACAUGCAAGGCUUUAUACCAGUAUUCAUGCUAAACCAAAGACUAAGUUAAAAACAGGAGCUAUUUCCGAAUCAACGACAGCCCUAAAUGUUGGCCAGACACAUACUUCACUGUGUAACGUUGAUCAGAAGACUGUGGUAUCUGGAGUCGCACCUCUCCAACAGCCUUCUCCGUUGUCCCCUACAGCUAACAUUGUAAAAGGAGGAAACAAUCUUGACCAGCCACUAACUGCGGAUACAGCGGUUAGUGGGUCAGCAGCACCAC